GAUGAAGCCUCCCGGGAAGCUGGCUACCCCGGGAGGGAGCCCAGGUCAACACGGAGAUGCCCUUCCAAACAGGGCCCCGAACAGCUGAAGGGCUCCAGUUACCCAAGAAAACGUGGCAUGUCAAUUUAGAAAAUAUUAAACAAGAUAGCAAGAUUAAUGAGCUUAUUCAAAAAAAAGGAAAUAAGUCUUGGUGAGGAAUCCUAAAUUCUAGGUAGCAAGCUGCCCAGGAAUAUGAAAGAGACUGGAGACCCCCAGAGUGCUGCAAUGACACAAGUGAGCCACCCAGCGAGCUGCACCUUGGAUUUCGACACGCUCUCCACGCUGCUGGACAGGUCGUCGAUCUCGAGCUUGAACUCGCUCUUCUCCUUCUCUAGCUUCUGCUUGACCCGCUGCAGGUUGUCGAUCUGCUCCGCGAGCUCAG